CUACGUGCCAGCAGCCGCGGUAAUACGUAGGGGGCGAGCGUUAUCCGGAAUUACUGGGCGUAAAGAGUAUGUAGGUGGUUAAGUAAGCGUAGGGUUUAAGGCGACAGCCCAACUGUCGUAUGCCCCGCGAACUGUUUAACUUGAGUACAGGAGGGGAAGGCGGAAUUCCUAGUGUAGCGGUGAAAUGCGUAGAUAUUAGGAGGAACACCAGUGGCGAAGGCGGCCUUCUGGACUGUAACUGACACUGAGAUACGAAAGCGUGGGUAGCAAACAGGAUUAGAUACCCUGGUAGUCCACGCCGUAAACGAUGAGCACUAGGUGUCGGGCUCGCAAGAGUUCGGUGCCGGAGCAAACGCAUUAAGUGCUCCGCCUGGGGAGUACGCACGCAAGUGUGAAACUCAAAGGAAUUGACGGGGACCCGCACAAGCAGCGGAGCAUGUGGUUUAAUUCGAAGCAACGCGAAGAACCUUACCAGGACUUGACAUCCC
rnacentral:rRNA from 1 species